rnacentral:rRNA from 1 species
CCUACGGGUGGCGGCAGUGGGGAAUAUUGGACAAUGGGGGGAACCCUGAUCCAGCCAUGCCGCGUGUGUGAAGAAGGCCCUCGGGUUGUAAAGCACUUUCAGUGAGGAAGAACGCCUGGUGGUUAAUACCCAUCAGGAAAGACAUCACUCACAGAAGAAGCACCGGCUAACUCCGUGCCAGCAGCCGCGGUAAUACGGAGGGUGCGAGCGUUAAUCGGAAUUACUGGGCGUAAAGCGCGCGUAGGUGGCUUGAUAAGCCGGUUGUGAAAGCCCCGGGCUCAACCUGGGAACGGCAUCCGGAACUGUCAAGCUAGAGUGCAGGAGAGGAAGGUAGAAUUCCCGGUGUAGCGGUGAAAUGCGUAGAGAUCGGGAGGAAUACCAGUGGCGAAGGCGGCCUUCUGGACUGACACUGACACUGAGGUGCGAAAGCGUGGGUAGCAAACAGGAUUAGAUACCCCGGUAGUC